AAACCGACACAGGUGGUCAGGUAGAGAAUACCAAGGCGCUUGAGAGAACUCGGGUGAAGGAACUAGGCAAAAUGGUGCCGUAACUUCGGGAGAAGGCACGCUGAUAUGUAGGUGAAGCGACUUGCUCGUGGAGCUGAAAUCAGUCGAAGAUACCAGCUGGCUGCAACUGUUUAUUAAAAACACAGCACUGUGCAAACACGAAAGUGGACGUAUACGGUGUGACGCCUGCCCGGUGCCGGAAGGUUAAUUGAUGGGGUUAGCGGUAACGCGAAGCUCUUGAUCGAAGCCCCGGUAAACGGCGGCCGUAACUAUAACGGUCCUAAGGUAGCGAAAUUCCUUGUCGGGUAAGUUCCGACCUGCACGAAUGGCGUAAUGAUGGCCAGGCUGUCUCCACCCGAGACUCAGUGAAAUUGAACUCGCUGUGAAGAUGCAGUGUACCCGCGGCAAGACGGAAAGACCCCGUGAACCUUUACUAUAGCUUGACACUGAACAUUGAGCCUUGAUGUGUAGGAUAGGUGGGAGGCUUUGAAGUGUGGACGCCAGUCUGCAUGGAGCCGACCUUGAAAUACCACCCUUUAAUGUUUGAUGUUCUAACGUUGGCCCGUAAUCCGGGUUGCGGACAGUGUCUGGUGGGUAGUUUGACUGGGGCGGUCUCCUCCUAAAGAGUAACGGAGGAGCACGAAGGUUGGCUAAUCCUGGUCGGACAUCAGGAGGUUAGUGCAAUGGCAUAAGCCAGCUUGACUGCGAGCGUGACGGCGCGAGCAGGUGCGAAAGCAGGUCAUAGUGAUCCGGUGGUUCUGAAUGGAAGGGCCAUCGCUCAACGGAUAAAAGGUACUCCGGGGAUAACAGGCUGAUACCGCCCAAGAGUUCAUAUCGACGGCGGUGUUUGGCACCUCGAUGUCGGCUCAUCACAUCCUGGGGCUGAAGUAGGUCCCAAGGGUAUGGCUGUUCGCCAUUUAAAGUGGUACGCGAGCUGGGUUUAGAACGUCGUGAGACAGUUCGGUCCCUAUCUGCCGUGGGCGCUGGAGAACUGAGGGGGGCUGCUCCUAGUACGAGAGGACCGGAGUGGACGCAUCACUGGUGUUCGGGUUGUCAUGCCAAUGGCACUGCCCGGUAGCUAAAUGCGGAAGAGAUAAGUGCUGAAAGCAUCUAAGCACGAAACUUGCCCCGAGAUGAGUUCUCCCUGACUCCUUGAGGGUCCUGAAGGAACGUUGAAGACGACGACGUUGAUAGGCCGGGUGUGUAAGCGCAGCGAUGCGUUGAGCUAACCGGUACUAAUGAACCGUGAGGCUUAACCUU
rnacentral:rRNA from 3 species